ACACGUAGGGGCCUGACGUUGUUCGGAAUCAUUGGGCGUAAAGGGCGCGCAGGCGGCCGUCCAAGUCCGGUGUUAAAUGGUCGGGCUCAACCCGAUCAUGCGCUGGAAACUGGGCGGCUUGAGUCCCGUAGGGGAUGCCGGAAUUCCAGGUGUAGGGGUGAAAUCUGUAGAUAUCUGGAAGAACACCGAUGGCGAAGGCAGGCAUCUGGCCGGAGACUGACGCUGAGGCGCGAAGGCGCGGGGAGCGAACAGGUUUAGAUACCCUGGUAGUCCGCGCAGUAAACGAGGCGCACCAGGUGUCGGGCGGCAGCGCCCGGUACCGGAGCUAACGCGAUGAGUGCGCCGCCUGGGGAGUAUGCCCGCAAGGGUGAAACUCAAAGGAAUUGACGGGG
rnacentral:rRNA from 1 species